CGGACUUCCAUCCAGUUCAGGGCUUCGCGGUUCUUCGUGGGACUGGACGGAUAGCCACGGGUAGCCAGAACUCCAGAGAGCCCAGGACUCUUCGUGGACAUACCCUGUUAGACUACAUCGCCAGAUUCCCCAUCGAAUUAUCCCCACUCAGAGAUACCCCUUUGGUGUGAGUCAUGAUAAUGACUAUGAAGGGCCAAGUGUGUGUGGUAACUGGGGCCUCCAGGGGUAUUGGCCGUGGCAUUGCCUUACAGCUUUGCCAAGCAGGUGCUACAGUUUACAUUACCGGCCGCCAUUUGGACACCCUUAGAGCUACUGCCCAGGAGGCACAAUCCCUCGGGGGCCGGUGUGUACCAGUGGUGUGUGAUUCAAGCCAGGAGAGUGAGGUGAAAAGCCUGUUUGAGCAAGUAGAUCGGGAACAGCAGGGGCGGCUAGAUGUUCUGGUCAAUAAUGCCUAUGCUGGUGUACAGGUAACCUUUUAACUCGAUCCAACUCUCCAUUCCAAACCCAACCCCCAACCCUUGAGUCUUUAUCUCCAUGCAUGGUCCCACUAACCAGCCCUUUAUACCUUCAUGCCAAUCAAUCACCCAGUUAAUCACUCUCAUGUCCUCUAGGCAAUCCUGAACACCACCACCAAGUCAUUCUGGGAAGCACCUGCCUCCCUUUGGGAUGAUAUAAACAAUGUUGGACUCAGGUGCGUGCUUCACUGUCAGAGCCUAGGCGCCUCCUGUUUAGUAGCCCCACAGCCUGGGCCUCUUCCUAAAAGACUCUUUCCCUUCUGGCUUCUGUUUGUCACACUUACUUCUGGACAAGUUCCAUGCCUGUGGGUUUGCACCUAAGAAUAUCACCUUUUUUUUCUUGUGCGUGCAUGGUUGUAUGUUUUUCUGUGCCCACCAUGGUG
rnacentral:lncRNA from 1 species